rnacentral:rRNA from 1 species
UUAGCCUACGGGACGCAGCAGUGAGGAAUAUUGGUCAAUGGGCGAGAGCCUGAACCAGCCAAGUCGCGUGAGGGAAGACGGUCCUAUGGAUUGUAAACCUCUUUUGCCGGGGAGCAAAAAGCGGUACGUGUACCGCAUCGAGAGUACCCGGAGAAGAAGCAUCGGCUAACUCCGUGCCAGCAGCCGCGGUAAUACGGAGGAUGCGAGCGUAAUCAGGAUUUAUUGGGUUUAAAGGGUGCGCAGGCGGCGAGUUAAGUCAGCGGUAAAAUUUCGGGACUCAACCCCGACGAGCCGUUGAAACUGGG